rnacentral:rRNA from 1 species
UACGGGGGGGGCAAGCGUUGUUCGGAAUUACUGGGCGUAAAGGGCUCGUAGGUGGCCAACUAAGUCAGACGUGAAAUCCCUCGGCUUAACCGGGGAACUGCGUCUGAUACUGGAUGGCUUGAGUUCGGGAGAGGGAUGCGGAAUUCCAGGUGUAGCGGUGAAAUGCGCAGAUAUCAGGAGGAACACCGGUGGCGAAGGCGGCGCUCUGGACCGAGACUGACGCUGAGGCGCGAAAGCGUGGGGAGCAAACAGG